rnacentral:rRNA from 1 species
GCUAAAACCUGGAGGCGUAGUGAAAGCAAAGCUUUGACGACACAGGAUCCGUCCGAAAGGGCGGCGCACUGUGGCCCCGUUCUAGUUGCUUGUCAACGGAGCGGAGGAAGAGCGUACACGUUAGGACCCGAAAGAUGGUGAACUAUGCCUGAGCAGGACGAAGCCAGAGGAAACUCUGGUGGAGGUCCGAAACGGUUCUGACGUGCAAAUCGAUCGUCAGACUCGGGUAUAGGGGCGAAAGACUAAUCGAACCAUCUAGUAGCUGGUUCCUUCCGACUGA